UCUCUGUUAGUAUAUCGGUUAGUACACGCGCCUGUCAUUAUGUAUGACCGCGCGAAAGCGGGGUUCGACUCCCCGACAGAGAG
rnacentral:tRNA from 1 species